UGCUUAUUGGGAAUUUAUAAUAAGUAAUUUCUGCCUACUGCAAUUUUGUAAAGGGCUGCAGUAUUUUGACUGUAUAAAGGUAGCAUAAUCAUUAGCUUUUUAAUUGGGGGCUGGUAUGAACGGGGGGCCGAGGGAACAGUGUGUUUAUAGGGAGAGGUUGAAUUUUAUGGUUUUGUGAAAAAUCAAAAGUAAACUUAAGGGACAAGAAGACCCUAUUUAAGUUUAAUUAAUAAUUAAAGAAAACAUAAAGGAGUACUAUUUUAAGUUAUUAGUGUGAUUUAUAAUUGUUUGUUUAGCUGGGGCGGUGAGUUGAAAGGAACAUAACGGUAAUUUUAAUAGGAGUGUUUGGGCGAGUUGAGGACCUGGUUAGGCCAAUUAAAUGGAUAAUUACUUUAGGGAUAACAGCGUUAUUAUUUUUAAGAGUUCUAAUUGACAGAAUAGUUUGCGACCUCGAUGUUGGAUUAGGAUUAGCGUUGGUGCAGUAGUCGGCGUGUU
rnacentral:rRNA from 1 species